CUGUACUACCCGCAAGGCCUUCCAGACAAGCCACCCUGACAAGUGAGGUGAGAUGCCUUGUCGAAACCCGUGACACAAAACCUGCUGCAGAGACCUGCCAAACACCCCUGAAUUUGCCUCUUGCCUCCGUGGCCUUUCCAAAUCCCACUCCAGGCAGCAGAUGGUGGCAGAAAAGAGGCAGCAGAUCUUAACUGGGAGAAAAACGAAAAUGGCAUCUGAACUGGAAAAUGUUUGCGCAGACAGGGUGGGCCUUUCAAAACCCCCCUUUUUUUUUUUCUUUGCAAAACAGCGGCACCAAAAUUGCAAAAGCAUCUGCUGGUGUGGGUCAGUGGGAAUCCCCAUUCUCUCCGCUGUUCAAGGUCUAGCCAUGGGGCUGAAAAGUAUCGUGCACAAAGGGCAGACACGAAGCCUGGGCAUAUGGCUCUCCUGUGGGGUUUUUGCCCCAUGGUAACUGCCUGUUGAUUUAAAGCUUAACCUUCUGGGCCUGCAGGCUGGAUAAGCGGUGCAGGGUUGGUCCACAGAUGUGAUCCAGCAUGCUGGUCUGGCCCAGUGCUCCAAAUAUGGCCAUGCCUCAGCCUGACCCCACACACAGGAGUCCCGCCAUGGAGCAAUCCCAUGUAACAGCCCUGUUGUGUGCCAGCACGAUCUAGUGCCAGGCCACAUCAUCCAGCCUACAGGACUCAUUACAGGUCUACAAAUCCGGCGGCAGGGAAGCGGCAAUUUAUUCUGCCAAAUUUCCAGACCUGUGAACUGGAUGAUGUGGCCUCACCAAGCAGAUUUGGCCAGUGGGCCAGAGAUCGAGUAUCACUGAUUUAAGGAAUAAAAGUCAGGGUAGAAGUUAGCUCUGGAGGGACACACUAGCAAAUCUGUCCAACAAAAGCACCCAAACUCAUGAUCACUGGGAUAUUUUGAUUCCCCAUAUCUACUUACCAAAGCUUUAGGGCUAAAGAAGAACUGGAUAAAAUCUUUUGACAUGAAAAAUUCAUCAACCAAAAAAGGCCUGUAUAACAAUUCACCAAAAAAGAGGGGUCUUUUUGCUUGACUUUUUUCAUCCCAGAAAAGCCUUCCUUUAUCAUAUAUUCAUUUAUCUUUUCUUUUUGGAGGGUGUGUUUUCUUCUACCCUCUGGCAAAUUUUGAUUGACCAAUUUAGUGACAAAAGAAGAGUUCUUCUGAAAUGGAAAACAUGCUAAAAAAA